rnacentral:snoRNA from 1 species
AAAAGGGAAGGUCCCCUGUUGCCUAUGCAAAUUGGUGCCUCAUAGACUUAAGGAAAAUCAUUUCCAUUGUUAUGGGGUGAACGUCUGUGAUAUUGUUGGUUUCAGAAGGUUCAGUAAAUGGUAUUACACCA